GGUGCACUUAGCUGUGCUUAAUUGGGAACUGGAGUGAGAAUCUCCGACUGUCCCGCAGCAGUGAACUCCGUUAUGGCUCCUAAGCAUAAACGCCAUUGGGUAUUUGCCCGAGAAGGCGCUUAGGAGUGGAGGAAAGUCUGAAGACCAGCCUUUUUCG
rnacentral:ncRNA from 1 species